rnacentral:rRNA from 1 species
AGAGCGAACGCUGGCGGCAGGCCUAACACAUGCAGGUCGAACGAUCCUUCGGGAUAGUGGCGGACGGGUGAGUAACACGUGGGAACGUGCCUUUUGGUUCGGAACAACUCAGGGAAACUUGAGCUAAUACCGAAUGUGCCCUUCGGGGGAAAGAUUUAUCGCCAUUAGAGCGGCCCGCGUCUGAUUAGCUAGUUGGUGAGGUAAAGGCUCACCAAGGCUACGAUCAGUAGCUGGUCUGAGAGGAUGAUCAGCCACAUUGGGACUGAGACACGGCCCAAACUCCUACGGGAGGCAGCAGUGGGAAUCUUGCGCAAGUGGCAAAGCCUGACGCAGCCAUGCCGCGUGAAUGAUGAGGUCUUAGGAUUGUAAAAUUCUUUACACCGGGGUACAUAAGUAGACGGUACCCGGAGAAGAAGCCCGGACUACUCGUGCCAGCGACGCCGACGUAACUCGUAGACGGCGGCGUCGGACCGAACGG